GCGAACCUGCACUGGUUCCUGCUCUACGGCGCCUUCUGGGCGUUGUUGUGGCGCAACGCCCCGCGCGUGCCGAUCGCGUUGUUCGUG
rnacentral:tRNA from 1 species